rnacentral:rRNA from 1 species
CGUGUAGGCGGUUUUUUAAGUCUGAUGUGAAAGCCCUGGGCUCAACCUGGGAAGUGCAUUGGAUACUGGAAGACUUGAAUACGGGAGAGGGCAGUGGAAUUCCUGGUGUAGGAGUGAAAUCCGUAGAUAUCAGGAGGAACACCGGUGGCGAAGGCGGCUGCCUGGACCGAUAUUGACGCUGAGACGCGAAAGCGUGGGUAGCAAACA